UCUGGUUGAUCCUGCCAGUAGUCAUAUGCUUGUCUUAAAGAUUAAGCCAUGCAUGUCUAAGUAUAAAUAGUAUACAGUGAAACUGCGAAUGGCUUAUUAAAACAGUUAUAGUUUACUUGAUAAUCGAAUUUUAUAUGGAUAACCGUAAUAAUUUUAGAGCUAAUACAUGCUGUUAAACCUGACUUUUUGGAAAGGUUGUAUUUAUUAGAUACUAAACCAGCAGCUUCGGCUUCUGUGAUGAUUCAUAAUAACUGAUCGGAGUAAAGCUAGCCUUUACUAAAUCAUUCAAGUUUCUGACCUAUCACUUUGUUGUUAGUGUAUUGGACUAACAAGAGGAUUACGGGUACGAGGAAUUAGGGUUUGAUAUCGAAGAGGGAGCCUGAGAGACGGCUACCACUUCUAAGGAAGGCAGCAGGCGCGUAAAUUACCCAAUUCCAAUUCGGGGAGGUAGUGACAAGAAAUAAUAACUCGGAUAGUUUACACUAUUACGAGAUUAAAAUGAGAACAAUUUAAAAAUCUUAUCGAGGAACAAUGAGAGGACAAGUCUGGUGCCAGCACCCGCGGUAAUUCCAGCUCUUAUAGUGUAUAUUAAAGUUGUUGCAGUUAAAAAGCUCGUAGUCUAAUAUCUAGUGCGGCGCGUGCUGGCUCACUGCCAGCGCGACGCGGUGCUAUCUGUUCGAGAACUUCUUCUAUCUUAACUGGUCGGAGAUGCUGAUCGAACUCUUUCCUGAGAAAAAAUUAGAGUGUUUAAAGCAGGCUAAUGCAAUGAAUAUUACAGCUUGGAAUAAUAGAAUAAGACUGGAGUGUCUUUUGUUGGUUAUGAACUUUAGUAAUGGUUAAUAUAAACAGUCGGGGGUAUUAGUAUUUAAGUGUCAGAGGUGAAAUUCUAUGAUUACUUAAAGACUAACUUAUGCGAAAGCAUUUACCAAGGAUGUUUUCAUUGAUCAAGAACGAAAGUUAGGGGAUCAAAGACGAUCAGAUACCGUCCUAGUCUUAACUAUAAACGAUUCCGACCAAGGAUCGGGGAGGUCUGCUAGCCUUCUCGGCACUUUAUGAGAAAUCAAAGUCUUUGGGUUCUGGGGGAAGUACGGACACAAGUCUGAAACUUAAAGGAAUUGACGGAAGGGCACACAAGAUGUGGAGACUGCGGCUUAAUUUGACCCAACACGGGGAAACUUACUAGAGCAAGACUAAGGUUGGAUUGACAGAAUGAGAGCUCUUUCUUGAUUCUUAGGGUGGUGGUGCAUGGCCGUUCUUAGUUGGUGGAGUGAUUUGUCUGGUUAAUUC
rnacentral:rRNA from 1 species